CGGCUCUCUGCCAGGAGAAAAUUGGUUCAGUAGUAUUGAAAAUCAUGACUUCCACAAAAUAUGAGUUUGUCCUCGUAAAAUAAUAUCGAAAGUUAUAAACGUUAACAGACAAUAACAUUCCGUUAUAUUUGUUCACUGAGAUUUUUUUGACCACAUAACAUGGACAUGAAAUGACAUUUCUACCCCUGGGUUCCAAAGACCAACAAAAAUCCUCC
rnacentral:lncRNA from 1 species